ensembl:lincRNA
CUUUUAUAGCUGACCCUCUUUAAUGAAAAUUGGCUUCCCCUGGAGAUCUCAUAUGUCCAUUUAUCUCUUCAACUUCUAGGCCUACCGUGUGCUAUGGACAAGUCUUGGUUGCUGUUUGAAUAAGCCUGUCACUUAGGCCAGAUUCCACCUUCCCACUUUCACCUAAGCCUUGGUCCCAACCAACCCAAAUAUUGCUUCUGAAGCAUUCCUGGAAAGAAAACCCAUGAGAUUUGUACACUCUGUCUUUCUGGAACAAAGUUCAGAGGUACUUUUCUACUUCUUCAAACAAAUCCUUUAGUAGGAAGCCCCCAGUGCCUCUGAG